GACGAACGCUGGCGGCGUGCUUAACACAUGCAAGUCGAACGGUAAGGCCCUUCGGGGUACACGAGUGGCGAACGGGCGAGUAACACGUGGGUGAUCUGCCCUGCACUUCGGGAUAAGCCUGGGAAACUGGGUCUAAUACCGGAUAGGACCACUGCCCGCAUGGGUGGUGGUGGAAAGCUUUUGCGGUGUGGGAUGGGCCCGCGGCCUAUCAGCUUGUUGGUGGGGUGAUGGCCUACCAAGGCGACGACGGGUAGCCGGCCUGAGAGGGUGACCGGCCACACUGGGACUGAGAUACGGCCCAGACUCCUACGGGAGGCAGCAGUGGGGAAUAUUGCACAAUGGGCGCAAGCCUGAUGCAGCGACGCCGCGUGAGGGAUGACGGCCUUCGGGUUGUAAACCACUUUCAGCACCGACGAAGCGCAAGUGACGGUAGGUGCAGAAGAAGGACCGGCCAACUACGUGCCAGCAGCCGCGGUAA
rnacentral:rRNA from 1 species